GAUGUAAUAAACCACAUGAGUUCAUAAUCCUCCAUGAUUAUAGGACUAUGUCUAUCAUACAUGAACUGGCUUGUACAUAUUUCCUAUUGUAAGUGAAAGAGUCUUAGAGUGAGGUAACUAUAGCAUGCUGCACAGACACAGUGGGAGAAGGAACGGAAAGCUCUAUUGGGUGUUUCGUUCAUGGAUUCACACCAUAAAUACCUUACAAUAGUUUUAAUGGAGAAAGAAACACCCAGAGGAAAUUAAAAAGCAACAGUUUUGGCUAUGAAAAUGUGAAUACCUAAAUUGCUAAAGCCUUUUGUAGGAUUUGAGAAGUGUGAUUUAUAUUAAAAACAAUGGGAAUCAUAUGGCCCUCACCCAGAGAAAGUGUGUGAGAAUUUCUCCCUCAGGGGUCAGAUGAAUUACAGGCCUUUGAAAAGAGGAAAUUUUGAGUUAAUUUUUCAUUUUAGCAUUACAUUGGGGAUUAUUGAAGG
rnacentral:lncRNA from 10 species